UAAAGAACGACUCUCGGCAACGGAUAUCUCGGCUCUCGCAUCGAUGAAGAACGUAGCGAAAUGCGAUACUUGGUGUGAAUUGCAGAAUCCCGUGAACCAUCGAGUCUUUGAACGCAAGUUGCGCCCCAAACCUUCGGGUCGAGGGCACGUCUGCCUGGGUGUCACGC
rnacentral:rRNA from 1 species